rnacentral:rRNA from 1 species
UGAGGAAUAUUGGUCAAUGGGCGCAAGCCUGAACCAGCCAUCCCGCGUGCAGGAAGACGGCGCUAUGCGUUGUAAACUGCUUUUCCAGGGGGAGAGACUUGCGCACGUGUUGCGCAAUUGACGGUACCCUGGGAAUAAGCAUCGGCUAACUCCGUGCCAGCAGCCGCGGUAAUACGGAGGAUGCAAGCGUUAUCCGGAUUCAUUGGGUUUAAAGGGUGCGUAGGCGGACUAUUAAGUCAGUGGUGAAAUCCUGCAGCUUAACUGCAGAACUGCCAUUGAUACUGAUAGCCUUGAGUUUGGUUAAGGUAGGUCGGAAUGUGUAAUGUAGCGGUGAAAUGCUUAGAUAUUACACAGAACACCAAUUGCGUAGGCAGCUUACUGAGCCGACACUGACGCUGAC